rnacentral:rRNA from 1 species
ACAGAUGGGAGCUUGCUCCCUGAUGUUAGCGGCGGACGGGUGAGUAACACGUGGGUAACCUGCCUGUAAGACUGGGAUAACUCCGGGAAACCGGGGCUAAUACCGGAUGGUUGUCUGAACCGCAUGGUUCAGACAUAAAAGGUGGCUUCGGCUACCACUUACAGAUGGACCCGCGGCGCAUUAGCUAGUUGGUGAGGUAACGGCUCACCAAGGCGACGAUGCGUAGCCGACCUGAGAGGGUGAUCGGCCACACUGGGACUGAGACACGGCCCAGACUCCUACGGGAGGCAGCAGUAGGGAAUCUUCCGCAAUGGACGAAAGUCUGACGGAGCAACGCCGCGUGAGUGAUGAAGGUUUUCGGAUCGUAAAGCUCUGUUGUUAGGGAAGAACAAGUGCCGUUCAAAUAGGGCGGCACCUUGACGGUACCUAACCAGAAAGCCACGGCUAACUACGUGCCAGCAGCCGCGGUAAUACGUAGGUGGCAAGCGUUGUCCGGAAUUAUUGGGCGUAAAGGGCUCGCAGGCGGUUUCUUAAGUCUGAUGUGAAAGCCCCCGGCUCAACCGGGGAGGGUCAUUGGAAACUGGGGAACUUGAGUGCAGAAGAGGAGAGUGGAAUUCCACGUGUAGCGGUGAAAUGCGUAGAGAUGUGGAGGAACACCAGUGGCGAAGGCGACUCUCUGGUCUGUAACUGACGCUGAGGAGCGAAAGCGUGGGGAGCGAACAGGAUUAGAUACCCUGGUAGUCCACGCCGUAAACGAUGAGUGCUAAGUGUUAGGGGGUUUCCGCCCCUUAGUGCUGCAGCUAACGCAUUAAGCACUCCGCCUGGGGAGUACGGUCGCAGACUGAAACUCAAAGGAAUUGACGGGGGCCCG